AAGGUGAAAUAGACACCUCAUCCAGAUUCCCGGGUGGUUACGGUUCCCAGUUACACGCAGCCUCUCCGUUGUGUCGCGGUGCUUGUUCCAAACCAGAGAGGUCUCGACAGCUGAAGAAGAGGAACUAAGGGCAACUGAGAAAUAGCCGAGAUUUUCUUCUCAUGAUGAUGCUCAAGGCUCACAGCUGAGAUGCACCUCCUCUUCCCUCUUUUACAAAUGACUUGGGAGACAAUGAUGUCAAGUAGGAUCUGUGAAAUAUCUAACCAACUGGAGAAGACUCUUCUUACCUUCAUAGAAAGAAAAAUAUCAAAUUGUGGUUACUUUCCAAAGGAGGAAACUGGAGGUCAAGGGCUAGACAACUGGAGGCAGAAACGGAGCUGGAAUUCAAAUUCACCUCUGAGCCUCAAGCCCUGCACAAGUCACACAGUGUGGACUCUGCCAAUUGCCCGGUUUGGUGAAUGACACAGAACUUAUAAGCAUGACUUACUCCUACUUCUUCACUGAACUUGUUAAUAAAGACAUCCAAGUACAGACUCUCGA